GGUAGCGAAAUUCCUUGUCGGGUAAGUUCCGACCCGCACGAAAGGCGUAAUGAUUUGAGCACUGUCUCGACAAUGCAUCCGGUGAAAUUGAAGUACCAGUGAAGAUGCUGGUUACCCGCGCCAGGACGGAAAGACCCCAUGGAGCUUUACUCCAGUUUGAUACUGGGAUUCGGUACUGCAUGUACAGGAUAGGUGGGAGACGGAGAAGGAUGGACGCCAGUCUGUCCGGAGUCGCUGUUGGGAUACCACCCCUGUAGUACUGGGUUUCUAACCAGUUGCCAUGAACUGGCAAUGGGACAAUGUCAGGCGGGGAGUUUGACUGGGGCGGUCGCCUCCGAAAGGGUAUCGGAGGCGCUCAAAGGUUCCCUCAGAAUGGUUGGAAACCAUUUGAAGAGUGCAAAGGCAGAAGGGAGCUUGACUGCGACACCGACGGGUGGAGCAGGUACGAAAGUAGGACUUAGUGAUCCGGUGGUAUAAAGUGGGAUUGCCAUCGCUCAACGGAUAAAAGCUACCCUGGGGAUAACAGGCUUAUCACUCCCAAGAGUUCACAUCGACGGAGUGGUUUGGCACCUCGAUGUCGGCUCAUCGCAUCCUGGGGCUGUAGCAGGUCCCAAGGGUUGGGCUGUUCGCCCAUUAAAGCGGUACGCGAGCUGGGUUCAGAACGUCGUGAGACAGUUCGGUCCCUAUCCGGCGCGGGCGGAGGAUAUUUGAGAGGAGCUGUCCUUAGUACGAGAGGACCGGGAUGGACGGACCACUGGUGUAUCUGUUGUCGACCAACGGCAUGGCAGAGUAGCCAAGUCUGGAAGGGAUAAACGCUGAAGGCAUCUAAGCGUGAAGCCCCCCUCAAGAUGAGAUAUCCCUCCUUCGGGAGUAAGACCCCUUGAAGACUACAAGGUAGAUAGGGCAGAGGUGGAAGCAUGGCAACAUGUGGAGCUGACUGUUACUAAUAGGUCGAGGGCUUAAUCUG
rnacentral:rRNA from 1 species